AGAGGGGGAGAGAGGGGGGGAGAGAGAGGGAGAGGGGGAGAGAGAGAGGGGGAGAGCGAGAGAGGGAGGGAGAGAGAGCACGCGCUUGCUUCAAUAGCAGCACAAUCCCUCUGGUAGUAACACAGGUUGAGGAUGGGGUUGAAAUCAGUUGGUCUCUGCAAGGAAGAAAGCCAAGAGUGAAAAAGGGGCACAGGACACUCAGUGUACCUGGCAGAUAGGGAGAUGUUGUAGAUGUGCCAGGUCACACAUACAGUGAGGGGAGUAAGUGAAACAAAUGAGGGUGGCAGAGAGAAAGGGGGGAGGGAGUAGGGGUGAGUAUAAUUCUUUAGUCAAAACCAUAAACUUUCCAGAACACAAUAACUGAAAACAUUCAUUCCACAAACUGGCUGCGGUGUUUCCUACAUUGUAACAGUAACUAUGUUAUAAAAGUAAUUCAAUGAUUGUACCACACCUGGGGAGAGACCCAGGGUUGUGAAAAACAUGUACAAUAAGGCUCUUGUUAAUGGGCAUCAGGCCAUAGGCCUUCAGAAAAGACAAUAUGGAUUGGAAAGUGGCUGUGCUUUGUACUCUCACACAAACCCAUGCACUUUCCAAUCUAUAUGCAUCUUGCUUUAAACAAGACAGCAGUCUGUACUGUACUUGAAGCUUUUCUAGUAAAUAACUAUACAGAGCAGCUUUACUUAACCAACAAAACGGCAAAUUAAAACUCUUCAGAGACAAAUACUAUCCCAUACAGGACAACCUAGAUGCUGGGGAAGGGGAAUCGGACACCAACCGGAUAAGUCUUCUAGAACAUAAGAAUAUAAGAAAUAGGAACUGGAGUAGACCAUCUUGCCUAUUGAGCCUGUUCUGCUGUUCAAUAAGAUGAUGUCUGAUCUGGCCAUGGACUCAUCUCCAUCUACCUGCCUUUUCCCCAUAACCCUUAAUUCCCCUACUUUGCAAAAAUCUAUCCAUCCUUGUCUUAAAUAUAUUUACUGAGGUAGCCUCCACUGUUUCAUUGGGCAGAGAAUUCCACAGAUUCACCAAUCUCUGGGAAGAACAGCUCCUCCUCAUCUCUAACUUAAAUCUACUCUCCUGAAUCUUGAGGCUAUGUCCUCUAGUUCUAGUCUCACCUACUAGUGAAAACAAUUUUCCAGCAUCUAUCUAAUCUAUCCCUUUCAUAAUUUUAUAUCUCCUCUCAUUCUUCUGAAUUCCAGCUCCACUCCCAGACAACUCAAUCUCUCCUCAUAGUCUAACCCCCUCAUCUCUGGAAUCAACCUGGUGAACCUCCUCUGCACCAUCUCCAAAGCCAGUAUAUCCUUCCUCGAGUAAGGAGAGCAGAACUGCAAGCAGUACUCCAGGUGGGGCCUCACAGGUACCCUGUACAGUUGCAGCAAAACCUCCCUGCUCUUAAACUCAAUCCCUGCUGUGCAUCAUCCAUGCCUUGGGCUCUCUCUCCUGCAUUUUUCAUGCUCUCUUCUCACUGCUUCCCUCAGUCAGGAAGAACAGGAGCCAUAGGUCUCCACCAGCUUCAGGAACAGUUAUUACCAUUCAACAAUCAAGCUCCUGAACCAGUGUUAAUUGAUUUAGGACGGUGGUGAGUAUCGGGUUGAGCCAUUUGAUGUUGCAGUGUUUGCUAAGCUUAGCAACUAGCUAGAAGAUGUUUCAUCAACAGUCAAGGUGACACCAUCUGUGUACAGUUAUUGUUCGUUUCUCUCUGAGAGUGCUUCCAUUUAUAUUUGCAAAGAGUAAGGUCUGCUUUAACUGGGACAUCGCGGAAGUUCUGGUACAAGCAAGUACAUAGCAGGCACAAAAAUUUUCAGAAGCAUGGUGCUCUUGUGGUAAUUCCAUAAACGAACAUACUGAAUUAGACGGCAACUAUGAACCCCUAAGAGCCAAAGAAACGAGAGCCAAUAGAAUUCAAAGUUUAACUAAAGGGGUAGCCAAUCAGGACCAAGGUAAACGAACAGGUGGGAGACUAAAUAAGUGUCAACACUCCCAGAGAGAAACACCAAUAACUGUGCACUGAGGAUGUCCCUUCAACUGUUAAUGAAAUACCUGCAAGCUAAUUCCCAGCUCAGCGAACUGAACUGAUUCCACAACCUGCACUUACAAACACUCUACAACCGAUGUUCUUGGUAUUAAUUCAUUAAGUUUUAUUAUUGUUAUUUUUGUAUUUGCAGAGUUUGUCAUCUCUGCACAAUUUUUGUCAGUCUUUGUGUGUAGUUUUCACUGUCUCCAUCAUAUUGUUCCUCUGUGAAUGUCUGCAAGAAGAUGAAUUUCAGGGUAGAAUAUGGUGACAAAUACAAACUUUAACAAUAAAUUUACUUUGAACUUUACAGGAAGGAUGUAAAAGCUUUGGAGAGAGUUUAGAUGAGGUCCAAUGGGAUGCUGCCUAAAAUACAAAGUAUUAGCUACAAGGAGCAGAUGACAAAAUAGAUAGUGUGGAGAGCCAGAAUCUUUAUUCGAGGGUAGACGUCAAAUAUUUGAGGGUAUAACUGUAGAUGGGGCUGGGGGUUAAGAUUAAAGAGGAUGUGGUGUGGACCUUUCUUGUUACAUAGAAAGUGGCAGAUGCCUGGAAUAGGCUACCAGAGGAUGAAGUGGAAACAGAUAAGACAGCAACAUUCAAUAGGCUUUUAGAUAGGCAUAUGAAUACUCAGGGAUUGAAAUGAUAUGGCUCAUGUACAGGCAGAAGUUUAAAUAUGAUUAAAAAUUAAAGUUUAAUUUGGCGUGAUGCUCAGCACAGGGCCUGUUCCUGUGGUGCACUGUAUUAUGUUUACUGCAAGGUGUCCAGAUAUUAAUAUCUGGGAUUUGUUUUACAGAGAGAGUGCAGAUGACGUCACACAGAACCUUUCCAGAACCUCUGACUCACUCAGCUCCCACAACAAGCUCAACACAAAUUUUCAAGAGUGCGUCUCUUUGUCUGCACAGGAGGGGAAGCUCUUGGAAGACAGUCACUUCCACAGCUGGCAGAGCUGCUGCCCUGUGGCACCCUGGCACUGCCUGCAUGGAGUUUUAACUGGCCACCGUAAAAGGUUCCUAGUGUGUAGCAAAUAUGGAUUGUUGAAUUCAAGAAGGGGAAGUCAGUAUCAGCAGUGGAAAGUGUUCCCAGGUGUCAAUGUCUCAGAGGAUCUAUCCUGGACCCACUAUAUUGAUGUAACUACAAAAAAGGUUCACCACGUCACCAAAUACUCCAGAAGACUUCUACAGAUGUACAGAGGAGAACAUUCUGACUGGCUGCAUCACCACCUGGUAUCGAGUUCCAAUGCACAAGAGGCUACAGAGGGCUGUAGACUCAGCCAGCUCCAUCAUGGGCACAUCAGAAUGCAAUGUCUCAAAAAGGUGGCAUCCAUCAUUGAGGACACUUUCCAUCUCUUCUCAUUACUACCAUCAGGGAAAAGGUACAGGAGCCUGAAGAUCCACACUCAAUGUUUUAUGAACAGUUUUUUUCUCUCCGCCGUCAGGUUUCUGAAUGGUCCAUGAACCCAUGAAUACUACCUCACUAGUUUGCUCUCUUUUUGCACUAUUUCUUUAUUUCCUACAGGAUUGAUUUGAAAGGACAGGCAGGAUGGCAUAGGUGGUGGUGUGGCUCAGUUGGUAAGAGAUACAAAUACAUCUUUAGAAAGAGUUAAUAUGGAGUUAGGGUUGAAUCUUUGUGAGUGGAGUUAAGAAACUGCAAGGGUGUAAAAAACAUUAUGGGAAUCAUAUAUAGACCUCCAAAUAGUAGCCAAGAUGUGGGGUUGAAAUUAUAAACAGAGUUGGAAAGGGCAUGUAAGAAGGGAAAUGACACAAUUGUAAUGGGGGGGGGAAUAUCAUAUGCAAGUGGAUUGGUAAAAUCAGGUUGGUGUUGGAUCACAAGAGAGGGAAUUUGCUGAAUGCCUAUGAGAUGGCCUCUCAGAGCAGAUUGUGCUUGAGCCUACUCAGGGAAAGGCUAUCUUAGAUUCGGUGUGGUGUAAUAACUCAGAUCUUAUUAGGGAGCUUAACGUAAAGGAACUCUUAGGAGGAUGAGAUCAUAAUAUGAUCGAAUUCAUACUGCAAGUUGAGAUGGAGAAGCUUAAGCCAUAUGUAUCAGUAUCGCAAUGGAAUAAUAAGGAAUUGCAGAGGCAUGAGAGAGGAGCUUACUCAGGUGGACUGGAGGGGGAUACUGGCAAGGAUGAUGGCAGAAUGGAGGUGGCUGAAGUUUCUGGGAACAGUUCACAAGGCGCAGGAUAAAUAUGUUCCACAAAAAAAGUUGUUCUCAAACGGCAAGUCUAGGCAACUGUGGCUGACAAGGGAGGUUAAGGACUGCAUAAAAGCCAAGGAAAGGGCAUAAAGAUGGCAAAAGUGAAUGGAAAAUUGGAUGCUUUUAAAAUCAAACAAAAGGCAACUAAAAAAGCCAUGAAGGGAAAAGAUGACAUCUGAGAGCAAACUAACCAAUAAUAUAAAGCAAGAUACCAAAGGUUUUUUUCAGUUAUAUAAGAAUAAAAGUGAGGUGAGAGUUGAUAUUGGACCACUGCAAAAUGAUGCUGGUGAGGUAGUAAUGAGGAACAAAGAAAUGGCAGAUGAACUUAAAGGGCACUUUGCUUCAGCCUUUACUGAGGAAGACACUAGCAGUGUGCCAGAGGUCCAUGAACGUCAAGGAGUAAGAGUGAAUGCCAUUGUUAUUACAAAGGAAAAAGUGUGAGGCAAAGUGAAAGGUCUUAAGGUGGUUAAGUCAUCUGGACCAGAUCUACUACAUUCCAGAGUCCUGAAAGAGGUUGCUGAAGAGAUAGCAGAUGCACUGGUUUUGAUCUUUCAAGAAUCACUUGAUCCUGGCACGGUUCCAGAGGAAUGGGAGACUGCAAAUGUCACUCCAUUCUGUAAUAAGGGAGGAAGACAAAGGAAAGGAAAUUAUAGGCCAGUUAGCCUAACAGUGGUUGGGAAAGUGUUGGAGUCUAUUACUAUGGUUGAGUUUUCAGGGUACUUGGAGACUAAUGAUAAACUAAUUCAAGACAACAUGGUUUCUGUCAAGGGAAAUCUUGCCUGACAAAUCUGUUAAGAGUUCUUCCAGGAAGUAACAAGGCAGGGUGGACAAAGGAGAAGCAGUGGAUGUCAUUUAUUCAGAAUUUCAGAAGGCAUUUGAUAAGGUGACACACAUGAGGCUGCUUAACAAGAUAAAAUCCUAUGGCAUUACAGGAAAGAUACUGGCAUGGAUAGAGGAAUGGCUGACAGGCAGGAGGCAGCGAGUGGGAAUAAAUGGGACCUAUUCUCGUUGGUUGCCAGUGACUAAUGGUGUUCCUCAGGGAUCAGUACUUUUCACAUUGUUUGUCAAUGAUUUAGAUAGUGGAAUUGAUGGCUUUGUGGCAAAGAUUGCCGAUGAUUCAAAGAUAGGUGGAGGGGUAGGUAAGUGCUGAGGAAGCAAUGCGUUUGUAACAGGACUUAGACAAUUCGGCAGAAUGGGCAAAAAAGUGGCAGAUGGAAUUAUAUUGGAAAAUGUAUGAUAAUGCAUUUUGGUAAAAGUAACAAUAAUGCAAACUAUUAUUUAAACAGGGAGAAAAUUCAAACAUUAGAGGUGCAAAGGGACUUGGGAGUCCUCACGUAAGACUCCCAGAAAAUUAAUUCAAAGGUUGAGGCUGUGUUGGCGAAUGCAAUAUUGGCAUUUAUUUUAUGAGGAAUAGGAAUAAAACAAGGAGAUAAUGCUGAAGUUUUAUAAGACAGCUGGCAGGUCGCACUUGGAUUACUGUCAACAGUUUUAGACUCCUUAUCUCAGAACGGAUUGAGUAAUUGGAGAGAGUCCAGAGGAGGUUCAUGAUGAUGAUUCUGGGAAUGAAAGGGUUAACAUAUGAGGAGCAUUUGGCAGCCUUGGGCCUGUAAUCACUGGAAUUUAGAGGAAAUAUGUGGGUUUCUCACUGAAAUCUACCAGAUGUGGAAAGGACUAGAUAGAAUGGAUGUGGAGAGGAUGUUUCCUCCAGUGGGGGUAUCCAGAACUGGAGGACACAGCCUCAAAACUGAGGGGCAACCAUUUAGAACAGAAGUAAGGGGUAAUUUCUUUUAGUGGUGAAUCUGUGGAAUGUUCUGCCAUAGACUGCAGUGGAAACCAAGUCCAUGGGAAUUUUCAAAAUGGAAGUUGAUAGAUUCCAGAUUGGUCAGGGCAUCAAGGGAUGUGGUGACAGGGCAAGUGUAUGGGGUUGAAUGGGGUCCAGGAUCAGCCAUGAUGAAAUGGCGAAGCAAACUCAAUCGGCUGAAUGGCCUAAUUCUGCUCCUGUGCCUUAUGGACUAUGCGAAACUCUUAGGCACAUAUAUAGUGGCAUUCAAAAGUUUGGGCACCCCUGGUCAAAAUUUCUGUUACUGUGAAUAGCUAAGCAAGUAAAAGGUGACCUGAUUUCCAUAAGGCAUAAAGUUAAAGAUGACACAUUUCCCUAAUAUUUUAAGCAAGAUUGCUUUUUUAUUUCUAUCGAUUACAGUUUCAAAAUAACAAAAAAGGAAAAGGACCCAAAGCAAAAGUUCAGGCACCCUGCAUGGUCAGUAAAUAGACAAUAGACAGUAGGUGCAGGAGUAGGCCAUUCGGCCCUUCUAGCCAGCACCACCAUUCACUGUCAUCAUGGCUGAUCAUACACUAUCAGUACCCUGUUCCUGCCCUCUCCCCAUAUCCCUUGACCCCACUAUCUAUAAGAGCUCUAUAUAACUCUCUCUUGAAUGCAUCCAGAGACUUGGUCUCCACUGCCUUCUGGGGCAGAGCAUUCCACAUAUCCAAAGUUGUUCCGCAUCUCUGUUCUAAAUGGCCUACCCCUUAUUAUUAAACUAUGGCCUCUAGUUCUGGACUCACCCAUCAGCGGGAACAUGCUUCCUGCCUCCAGUGUGUCCAAUCCCUUAAUAAUCUUAUAUGUUUCAAUCAGAUCCCCUCUCAUCCUUCUAAAUUCCAGUGUAUACAAGCCCAGUUGCUCCAAUCUUUCAACAUAUGACAGUCCUGCCAUUCCAGGAAUUAAACCUUGUGAACCCAUGCUGCACUCCUUCAAUAGCAAGAAUGUCCUUCCUCAAAUUUGGAGACCAAAACUGCACACAAUACUCCAGGUGUGGUCUCACCAGGGCCCUGUACAGCUGCAGAAGGACCUCUUUACUCCUAUACUCAAUUCCUCUUGUUAUAAAAGCCAGCAUGCCAAUAGCUUUCUUCACCGCCUGCUGUACCUGCACGCUUGCUUUCAUUGACUAAUGUACAAGAACACCUAGAUCUCUAAACAAAUGGGUUUUAGGUAAAUUAUAUUUAUUAGAUAGCUGUUCAAAGGACAUAAUGCUAUCAUCCAGAAAUAGAUCACGAAAACAUGAUAUACCUUUUGUUUUCCAUAAAAGAAAAGCUUGAUCCAUAGAUGAAGGCCGAAAAAAAUAAUUAGAUAUUAUAGGACAUGAUAAAAUAAAUUUAUUCAAACCAAAAAAUUUACGAAAUUGAAACUAAAUUCGUAAUGUAUAUCUGACUAUAGGAUUAGCUAUCUGUUUAUUCAAUUUGAAUAAAGAAAAAGGAAGUGAAGAUCCUAAGAUUGAAAUCAGUGAAAAAUCUUGCACAGAUUUACAUUCCAAAUUUACCCAUUGUGGGCAAGUAGCUAUAGUCCAUUCUUGUGUCCAGAAUAUUAAAUUCACUGCCCAAUAGUAAAAGAAAUUAAUCCUCCAACUGUAUUUCAGUGGUUUUCUCAAACUAUUUCUUGUUUUGAGUUUAGAAAAAAUUAGAAGUGUGGUUUUUGAUCCUUCAGUUAAAUUUGAAGAAACUUGGAGACCUUUUAUUCAACAUUUUCACAUGAGUUGAAUUGUCUUUUCCUAAACCUUACUUAUAUUAUCCUUAAUUAAUUGGAUGGAGGUUCGGAGUUAUUGGCACUACUGUAUAUGUACUUAAUAUUAUUCAAUGGCCCAUGUUGGUUAAUGCUUUUUUUUUGUUUUUUUUUCUCUUUUUUGGGGGGGUUUUUCUUUUUUUUCUCUUUUUACUUCUUUGUUCAUUAAUGUUCUGAGUUUGAGAGGUUAUAUAUUUUUAUUAUUAUAUAUCUGAAUGUCUAUUUAAACUUUUAAUUAUGUACUCUCAAACAUUUUGUAUUCAUGUUUCAUUUAUGUUUGUUUAAAACUAAUAAAAAGAUUUAAAAAGAAAAAAAGAACACCUAGAUCUCGUUGUACUUCCCCUUUUCCUAACUUGACUCCAUUUAGAUAGUAAUCUGCCUUCCUGUUCUUGCCACCAAAGUGGAUAACCUCACAUUUAUCCACAUUAAACUGCAUCUGCCAUACAUUUGCCCAUUCACCCAACCUGUCCAAGUCACCCUGCAUUCUCAUAACAUCCUCCUGACAUUUCACACUGCCACCCAGCUUUGUGUCAUCAGCAAAUUUGCUAAUGUUACUUUUAAUCCCUUCAUCUAAAUCAUUAAUGUAUAUUGUAAACAGCUCCAGUGCCAGCACCGAACCUUGUGGUACCCCACUGGUCACAGCCUGCCAUUCUGAAAGGGACCCGUUAAUUACUACUCUUUGUUUCCUGUCAGCCAGCCAAUUUUCAAUCCAUGUCAGUACUCUGCCCCCAAUACCAUGUGCCCUAAUUUUGCCCACUAAUCUCCUAUGUGGGACUUCAUCAAAAGCUUUCUGGAAGUCCAGGUACACUACAUCCACUGGCUCUCCCUUGUCCAUUUUCAUAGUUACAUCGUCAAAAAACUCCAGAAGAUUAGUCAAGCAUGAUUUUCCCUUCAUAAAUCCAUGCUGACUCAGACUGAUCCUUCUACUGCUAUCCAAAUGUGUCGUAAUUUCCUCUUUUAUAAUUGACUCCAGCAUCUUUCCCACCACUGACAUCAGGCUAACCGGACUAUAACAGGUCUAUAAUUCCCUGUUUUCUCUCUCCCUCCUUUCUUGAAAAGUGGGACAACAUUAGCCACCCUCCAAUCAGCAGGAACUGUUCCUGAAUCUAUAGGACAUUGGAAAAUGAUUACCAAUGCGUCCACGAUUUCUAGAGCCACCUCUUUAAGUACCCUGGGACCUAAGUACCCAGUACUUAGUAACACCCCCUUUGGCAAGUAUCACAGCUUGUAAACACUUUCUGUAGCCAGCUAAGAGUCUUUCAAUUCUUGUUUGGGGGAUUUCCGCCCAUUCUUCCUUGCAAAAGGCUUCUUGUUCUGUGAGAUUCUUGGGCCGUCUUGCAUGUAAUGCUCUUUUGAGGUCUAUCCACAGAUUUUCAAUGAUGUUUAGGUCAGGGGACUGUGAGGGCCAUGGCUAAACCUUCAGCUUGCACCUCUUGAGGUAGUGCAUUGUGGAUUUUGAGGUGUGUUUAGGAUCAUCUUUUCAUUUUCAGCUUUUUAUUUUACAGACGGUGUGAUGUUUGCUUCCAGAAUUUGCUGGUAUGUAAUUGAAUUCAUUCUUCCCUCUACCAGUGAAAUGUCCCCCGUGCCACUGGCUGCAACACAAGCCCAAAGCAUAAUCGAUCCAUCUCCAUGCUUAACAGUUGGAGAGGUGUUCUUUUCAUGAAAUGCUGCACCCUUUUUUCUCCAAACAUACCUUUGCUCGUUGCAGCCAAAAAAUUCUAUUUUAACUUCAUCAGUCCACAGGACUUAUUUCCAAAAUGCAUCAGGCUUGUUUAGAUGUUCCUUUGCAAACUUCUGAUGCUGAAUUUUGUGGUGAGGACACAGGAAAUGUUUUCUUCUGAUGACUCUUCCAUGAAGGUCGUAUUUGUGCAGGUGUCGCUGCACAGUAGAACAGUGCACCACCACUCCAGUCUGCUAAAUCUUCCUGAAGGUCUUUUGCAAUCAAAGGGGGGUUUGAUUUGCCUUUCUACGAGCAGCUCUCUUGGAAAGUUUUCUUAGUCUUCUACACCUCAACUUGACCCCCACCGUUCCUGUUAAGUCAUUUCUUAAUUACAUUACGAACUGAGGAAACGGCUACCUGAAAACUCUUUGCUAUCUUCUUACAGCCUUCUCCUGCUUUGUGGGCAUCAUUUAUUUUAAUUUUCUGAGUGCCAGACAGCUGCUUAGAGGAGCCCAUGGCUGCUGAUUGUUGGGACAAGGUUUGAGGAGUCAGGGUAUUUAUAAAGCUUUGAAAUUUGCAUCACCUGGCCUUUCCUAAUGAUGACUGUGAACAAGCCAUACCCCUAACAAGCUAAUUAAGAUCUGAGACCUUGGUAAAAGUUAUCUGAGAGCUCAAAUCUCUUGGGAUGCCCAAACUUUUGCAUAGUGCUCCUUUCCUUUUUUUCCACUCUAAUAUUGUACAAAACAAAAAUAAUACACCAAUCUUGCUUAAAAUGUUGAAAAAAAUGUUUCAUCUUUAACUUUAUGACUUUUGGAGAUCAGUUCAUCUUCUACUCAAUUAACUAUUCACAGUAACAGAAAUUUUGACCGGGGCACCCAAACUUUUGCAUGCCACUGUAUAUAGCUAGGGUGCUUCAGACUUUUGCAAAGUACUGUAGUCAUGCUAUGCAUUGCACUGUACUGCUGCCACACAAAGAAAAAAUUUGUGUGUGAUGAUAUACCUGAUUCUGAUAUGGGUCUCUAUCGUGGAUUGAAAGUGGGAAGUGGGCACGGAGAGGGGAAUCACGCUUGGAAAAACAGGAAGGGAGGAGGGAGCAGGAAGUAUUAGAGAGGCACUCUGUAAUGAUCAAAUGACUUUGCCUGGUGACUCAGGGCAGGAUGUGUCUGUACCCACACCACCCCACUUCACCCUGGUAUUCCUUCUUUGCCACAUGUCCCACAAUCCUACUGUGGCGCUCUGCCCUUGCCAUUCCCAACACCCUUUGCUGCUGCCAAAUUUAGAAACUCACUCUCUGCUCCACGUUGACAAAUACAGGACUGUGCAAAAGUCUUAGGCACCCUAGCUAAAUGAAUGUGCCUGAGGCUUUUGCAUAGUAAUAUAUAUUGUAUACUGUAUAUUUCUUAUUGUAACUUAAUGGCUUUUUUGUAUAUUGCAUGGUACUGCUGCUGCACAACAACAGAGUUCAGUGUCAUAUAUCAGUGAUAAUAAAGCUGAUUUUGAUUUGGCUACAGUACACGAAUUGUCAGCAUGGAGUCUGCAUCAGAAACAAGGUCUGCAUCUGGUCUGGGUCCUGCGAGAGAUGGAUCCCCAUCUACUCCAGCACAAGCCCAGUACACAGAGCCAGUGGGGAUCAGAGACUGGCGUUCUCAUCUACCCCAGUACGUAGCUGACAGUGGCAUCCCAGUGCAUGUGAUUGGAUAGCAUGCCAGUGGACACCACAUACACAUUUCCGGAGGCUUUUCCUUGCUCUCUCUAAUCUGCCUGCAGGCUGACAUUGGUUUCAGUUAAGGACUCCUGCGCCUUAACAACCAUUGUAAAAGACAUUAAAAGGCAGGGUUAGUCAGGGAUCGUUAAAUAAUUGACACCUAGUUCACUGCAGUGGCAUCACAAGUUAAAGAAAUCUGCAACAUACCUCAUGAAGUCUGAAGACACAGCAGCUAAAACCGACACACACUUUGAAACAAAGUAUAGUCACAUACACUGGCUAUCACAGUCCAAUGGUCACGGCUUGCUUGUACUGGUCGAUCAUAAAGUUUACCUAACUAACUCAGGAACUAAUCAGUUUGAAACAAACAGCGGUUGGGUGUGUGGGGGAGGGGGUGCAACACGAUGGAAGGAGAACCAUGCUCGGUAGUUUUUUGGACAAUGGAUUUAGCACAGAACUUUGAAUGAGUGUGGUCUGCCCCUCCCUGUCUGGUCUAGCUGGUCUGCCUAGUAGCUCAUCAUUCAGCUGUGCGCUUCCUUCCUUCCUUUCUGCUGACUCUGCCCAAAUAGCCUCCAAUGUAUAAACCCCCACCCUUCAUGUGACACAGCGUACCUUUCAUCUGGCUAAACAUCCCGAGGACCCUGUGGAGAGGGUACUGCGGCUGGUGGGAACUUUCUACAUGCAUACUGGCUAUUGCACAUCCUGCAUUGUAAGAGGGGCCACACUUCCCAAAAAUGUUUCAGCAGCUGUGAGGGACACCACCAAAAAUAUGGCAAAAGGUCAAGAGGUCAGAUGACCAAAAAGUUCAAAAGUAAAAUUAUCAAAGUACAUAAAUAUCAGCAUAUACAACCCUGAGAUUAAUUUUCUUGCAGGCAUUCUCAAUAAAUCCAAAAUAGAAUAAUAACCAUAAUAGAAUCACUGAAAGACUGCACUAACUGGGGUGUUUAACAAUGGGUAAAAGAGAACAAAAUGUUCAGAUACAAAAAGGAAGAAAUAAUGAUAAUAAAUAAGCAAUAAAUAUCUAGAACAUGAAACAAAGACUUCUUGAAAGUGAGUGCAAAGGUUGUGGUUACAGUUGAAUGACAGGGCAAGUGAAGUUGGUUCAAGAGCCUGAUGGCGGAGUUGUAAUAAAUGUUCCUAAGCCUGGAGGUGCGAGUCCUGAGGCUCCUGUAACCUUUUUCUGAUGGCAGCAACAAGAGGAGAACAUGUCCUGGUUGGUGGGGGUCCCUUAUAAAGUGCUGUUUUCUUGCAACAACGCUUUGUGUAGAUGUGCUCAAUAGAGGGGAGAACUUAAUCCAUGAUGGAUUCACCUUUUUUGUAGGAUUUCCUUUUCAAAGGCAAUGGGGUUUCCAGACAAGGCUGUGAUACAGCCAGUCAAUUAUACUCGCAAGUACACACCUACCGAAGUUUUAAAUGUCAUGCCAAAUCUUCAUAAACUCUCAGGAAGUAGAGGUGCUGCCGUGCUGGACUCUCUGAAAUGAUAGCACCUAGGAAUUUAAAGUUGCUGAGCCUCUCCACUACUAAGGACUGGCUCAUGGACCUCUGGGUUCUUUCUGAAGUCAAUAAUCAGCUCCUUGGUCUUGCUGACAUCACCACUCAGCCAGAUUUUCAGUCUCCCUCCCUCCUAUAUGGUUAUUCGUCAUCACCUAUGACAGUGGGGUCAUCAGCAAAUUUGAAUACUGCACGGAGCUCUGCUUAGCCACACAGAAGGUUUUUGAUAAAAGAGAGCAGCUUUGCGCUGGAGGGCUGAAGGCUGCAGAGGCAGAGAGGGAGCAAGGCCAUGCAGAAAUCCAAACACAUCAUAGGUUAAGGGUGAAAGGUGAAGUAUCUAAGGGGAACCUUUUUUCAUCAAGAGGUGGUGCAAGUACAGAGUCAAUUGCCAGUUGAAGUGCUGGAUGCGUUCAAUUGCAACAUGGAGGGCUAUGGUCCAGGUGCAGGUCAAUGGGACUAGGAAGAAUAAUCGUUAGCCAGGGUGUAAAUGGGCUGAAGGAGCUGUUUCUGUGCUGUAAUUCUCUAUGACUCUACAAGAGAGAAAAUUCCCUUUCAGCCUCCAAAUUUGCACUGUUCUUUGACACUAAUUGCACAGAGCAAUACUGCAGAGAAACAGGUCCUUUAGGCCACUGAAUCCAUGCUGACCAUCAAACAACCUUUUGCAUUAAUCUCAUCUUAUUCUCCUCCCCACCCAGAUUCUACCACUUACCAACUUACAUCAGGCAAUUAACCCACCGACCACAGAAUAAGACCAGGGCAGCAGAAGGAAACCCACACAGUCAUGGAAACAAACUCCACAUAGACAGGUCAGGAUUGAAUCAGGUUCACUGGACCCGUGUAGAGGCAGUACUUAUGUGAAGCACAGGGCUUCACAGCGGGCCUGUGAAGUGUGCCACCCAGUCACAAAGAUAGCCUGUGUAAACACAUGGAAAAGCAUUAAAACUCCUGACAAUGGAAAUCUUAAAUGAAAGACACUGCUGGAAAUUUGGUUUAGAGACUUUGACACCACAGAUGCUCUCUAAUCUACAGAGUAACUCUACUAUUUUCUGGCCUUAAACCUAUACUAACACCUUCUUGCUGACUUGCACCAGUGACUGCAAGAAACUGAGGUGAACUUUGGUGCAAAUGAAUAACUAAUUGUUUGGGAGUCUGAGAGGGGUUGGGGAUUUGGAGUCUCAUGUUCUUGUUGCUGUUUCUCUGUGAGGGCAAUCCAAUAGUUUUUGCGUGUGAGGGAGGGGUUGGGGAUUUGGGGUCUGAGGUUCUCAUUGGUGUUUCUCUGUGAGGGGCACGUUAGUUUUUGAGUGUGAGGGAGGGGUUGGGGAUUUGGGGUCUGAGGUUCUCGUUGGUGUUUCUCUGUGAGGGGCAUGUUAGUUUUUGCGUGUGAGGGGGGGUUGGGGAUUUGGGGUCUGAUGUCCUCAAGUGUUCCUCUGUGAGGGAGGUCUGUUAGUUUUUGUGUGUGACGGAGCAGUUGGGGAUUUGAUGCUACAGUCGCUUUUUUUUGCGAGGGAGGUUUUUGAUGUUCAAGCUGGUGUUUUCCGGACAGGUGAUCUGUUAGUUUUUGUGUGAGGGAGGGGGUGGGAGUGGGAGGGUCUGGGACUUGUGAGUUCUGUAUCUUUUUCUUUUUUGUGGGGGGGGGAAUUUAUGUAUUUUUUUUAAACAACUUCCAUGGAUUUUCUGUAUUUCAUGGUUAUCUGAGAAAAAUGAUUAUCAGAGUUGUAUUGCACAUGUAUACAUUGACAAUAAAAUGAUCCUUUGAACAGAGACCUUAAGUCCGUAUGUAAGAGGUGGGGAUGGGGGGAGAAUGGUGAGGUAAAAAACAGCUUGACACACAUCUCCACCCAUCCACAGUUCAGACUGCCAAUUAAGGU